GGAGGAAUAGCGAAGUGGUCAAACGCGCCACCUUUAGGCGGUGGUCUUCACGGUUCGUGGGUUCAAAUCCCACUUCCUUCA